CCUACGGGAGGCAGCAGUGGGGAAUAUUGCACAAUGGGGGAAACCCUGAUGCAGCGACGCCGCGUGAGCGAUGAAGUAUUUCGGUAUGUAAAGCUCUAUCAGCAGGGAAGAAAAUGACGGUACCUGACUAAGAAGCCUCGGCUAACUACGUGCCCGCAGCCGCGGUAAUACGUAGGGGGCAAGCGGUAUCCGGAUUUACUGGGUGUAAAGGGACCGUAGACGGCGGUGCAAGUCAGAUGGGAAAGCCCGGGGCUCAACCCCGGGACUGCAUUUGGAACUGUGCUGCUAGAGUGUCGGAGAGGCAGGCGGAAUUCCUAGGGUAGCGGUGAAAUGCGUAGAUAUGAGGAGGAACACCAGUGGCGAAGGCGGCCUGCUGGACGAUGACUGACGUUGAUGCUCGAAAGCGUGGGGAGCAAACAGGAUUAGAUACCCGAGUAGUC
rnacentral:rRNA from 1 species